UACGAAGGGGGCUAGCGUUGCUCGGAAUCACUGGGCGUAAAGCGCACGUAGGCGGAUUGUUAAGUCGGGGGUGAAAUCCUGGAGCUCAACUCCAGAACUGCCUUCGAUACUGACGAUCUCGAGUCCGGGAGAGGUGAGUGGAACUCCGAGUGUAGAGGUGAAAUUCGUAGAUAUUCGGAAGAACACCAGUGGCGAAGGCGGCUCACUGGCCCGGUACUGACGCUGAUGCGCGAAAGCCAGGGGAGCGAACGGG
rnacentral:rRNA from 1 species